GUGGCCGCAGUUGCCUGAGGGUCUGUUCUGGAAGAAGCCUGAGAGCUGGUUGUCCUGGCGCGUGGGAGCCCCGAACUUCUCUCGUCAUGGUGAAGAACCGUAUCCCCAACGGGAGAAUGCAAGAUACAUUGGAGCAGGCCUGAACCAGACCAGCUGCCUGGAGGAGAGCUGCCCAGCUGAUAUGCAGACCCAAGGACAUGAAAAUCAACCCAUGGACAUGCAGAAUCAUGGACAUGGGCUUACUGUGGUAAGCCAUGCAAACUUUAAGGUUGUUAUAAGUUUAAAAGAUAAAACUCACACAAACUGAAAAGAAUCAUGGUUAGCGAGCACAAUUAACUAUAAGCAACUGUCCUGUUUUAACAAGAUAAUGAUUAUUAAAACCUGAAUCAGAGAGAGACCAGACCAAUCUGGGUGAAAUUCAGCUCAUCUUUAAAGCUGAUGAUAAAUAAGAAUAUAUUUUAACAGUAAUUUUAAUAUAAUAAUGUGGUAGCCUUUGUGAGCUAUUAAGAAACUAACCUUUAAUAUUCAGAUUUACAAUUUGAUUAUAGGAUAUAAUCAUCAAAACUAUCUUGUGUCAUCUUUGAAUCCAGAUUAAACUUCCCGAAGGUCUUUCAUCAGGCAUCUUGGCCUGAACAACAGGCAUCUCUGCCUUCACAAAAAAAGGCAGCAAGACCUGAGGAAUAAAGUGAAAUUCUGAGCUGAGAUCUUAAAGAAGAAUGAUGUUUAAGAAUAAUGUUUUAACUUCAUAUAUAAUAAAUAACAGCAAGAUGCUACAGUGUCUAUAGCUGUUUCUUUUAAUCCCCCGUCAGUAGAAAGACAAAGGAUUAUGGCCUGUGUCUUUUUAAGCCUUGAACGUAUUUUUAGACAUGUGCUGUCCAGUGGAGUAGUGACUAGUCAUACGUGGCUGUUGAUCACUUGAAACAUAGCUGGUCCUCAUUCAGAUGUGCUGUAACUGCAGUGCACAACAGCGGGCUUCAAAACUUAAUGUGAAAAAACAAAUGUUAGUGAUUUUUAUAUUAACUACAUGUUGAAAUGAUAAUACCUUGGAUACAAUUUCUUAAACUCUUCUUAGUUCCCUACUUUGCACCAUCUCUUACUUGCAGAGAUUUUGACUGAUACAACAUUAAAAUGAAGUAUACUUUUAAACACUUUUAUUUAUAUUGCAUUUUAUAUUUCUUAUUAAAGAAUUGGAUAAGGAGAAAACUUUCUCUCUCUCUCUCUCUCUCUCUCUCUCUCUCACACACACACACACACACACACACUUCAUUCUUUUGUCUACAGAAGUAACCAUUUCUGAUGUGGUCCACAGAAAAAAGUUUCCCACCUUCUAAAGGAAUGGCAGAACUAAGUUUAGGUGAAGGGCCAGGAAGGACUGGUAAUCAUUUAUAACCAGUGGCCAAUUCAGUAUUAAAAUCAGUUGACAGUGACCCAUUUUAUUUAGCCUUUCUCAUACAGAAUGGCCCAAAGCAGAUUCCUGAAUCUGCCACAAAACCAUCUUUCCCUCCAACAGAAAUGAGAUUAGGUUGUGCCUGCUGAUCAUCUCCAUGACUUGAGACUUAAAACAAGUGGAAUUUGGCUCCCGAAUACCUUAAUGCACUUGUUUUGGACCCAGGCCGCAAGACAGAAAUGGAAUAAGAAAAGAUUUCCAUGUUUAUUGAAGGAAAAUUGUGGAUUAUAAUUCCAAUUUGCCAAGGGACGGUGUUUAUAGAAAAGACAGAGCAAUAAACUUGGGACAGAAGACAUGAAUUUGAAUAUCCACUCUACCAUCUACUCGUCUGUGUGACCCUCAUUUAUAAAAUAGAAAUAGUACUUAUGCCCUCAUGGGGUUUUUUAAGAAUCAGAAUAGAGAAUGUGCAUCACAGGGCUUUGUGUAUGUAGACAUAAGGAAGAAAGGAGCUGCUGUUGGCUCUAGUUAUAUGACUUUUUAUUUUCAUCAGUAUCAUCAACUAUUAUUUAUCUGAUGCAGAACUGCGAUGCAGUGAGCAAGCACUAUAAUUAAGAAGCCAGGAAUAUGGGGAAUCCUUGAUUAGCAUCGUAUGCCACAUAUAUCACCAUGCAAAGUACGUGAACAGAGUAUCGGUGUUGCCAUGACAGACUUUGUGGACUUAAAGCAAUAUUAACUCACAGGUCCAUCAGGGAAGAGAUCAUAUGUCUACUUCCCUUUCUACCAUGCCUGUGAUCCCUGUAUUCAUACAGAGUUAAGUGUGUGCUUAGAAGUUAUAAAGAGACAGUCUAGUAUAUUUGGGAGAGAAAAUAAUGGCUAAGUGCAUUGCAGGCCUUAGGUCAGCCACUUGGGCAAGUGACUUACCCUCUCUGAGCCUCAGUCUGCUUCUGUGAAAUGGGAGUGGUAGUGGCUCUCUUCAGAUUGUUGUAGGGAUUGAAUGAGAGAAUGGACGUAAUGCAUGGAAGCACAGAACAUGGGGACACAACAAAUGCUCCAUAAAUACUACCUGUGACAACAGAGCCACUUCUAAUAAAAAGAGUUUAAACGUGCCCAAACUUGGCUUCUUAUUCCUAAUCAAAGUACAACAAGUUCAACUGUGAGUAGCAGAAAAGAGAAAGUUCCUGUUCUCAGUUUUAUUAAGCUUGUAUUCACCUGGAUGUUGUAAAAAAAAUGACUUAGUUAUUCAAGACAUAUAAGGGCAUUUGGCUUCCAGUUUGUGGGAAAGCUUUUCCUCCCCCACCCCACCUCCUCCUUGCAUCAGCUCAACAGUCGUCCCCAGAUCCAGAGAUGGGAGCUUGGGACAACGUCAGAGUAACACAUCACCACUCCACACUACUCAACAGGUAACUCUUAUAGCAGUCAUUAAAGGAAGAAGGUACAGGGUCUCUUCACGUUUAUGUGACAAGGUCCAUAGCUGCUGCUUCUCCCACAAAAUAGUCCAUGGAAUAAGUAAAGAGAUCCCAUUCUUGUGUGACAGGAGUGGCAACAACACUUUCAGACCUGGUUCCUGGCACACUUUGAUGAGUAAAUGCCAUGGCAGUGAAAAGGCAUGCUGUAGCUCUCACUAAAUUAAACCCUGUGACAGUAAGGCCUGGAGUGGCUUUAAAACUCAGUGGGCAUCUUGUGGUGCAAUUGAUUAGCAUAUUUGGCUAUUAACUAGAAGGUUGAUGGUUUGAACCCACCCAGGGGUGGUCUUGUCUCCAGCUAAUUUCUGGGUGGGCAAAAUAUUCUGGAAUUAGUGGUGAUGGUUGCACAACACUGUGAAUAUGCUAAAUGCAAUUGAAUUGUACACAUUAAAAUGGUGAACUCCAUGUUAUAUGUAUUUUUAUUACAAUAAAAAUGAAAGCCCAAUAGAUACACUGAA